rnacentral:lncRNA from 1 species
AACACAUUUAAUACACAGAAAACAUGAGUUAUCAUUUUAAUUUACAAAUCCUGACUUAAACCAGAUUAUUUUUUCUUUAUAAAUUACAUUUGAACCUGUCUUGUACACAAGAACAAUUGUACAGCGCUGUUAUUAUCAAUUGUAUUUGUUUGAUUGGUAUUUAGCGUUGUAUUGGGGUUCAUACGAUUUGGGGCAUAAUAUGUUGGUGGAUAUGCCUUUUUUGAUGGUGCAUACGAUUUUGAUGCUUUCAAAUUUGUCAGUUCGCUGGCAUGAUUCAACACUGCGGUCUUUGUUUU